rnacentral:rRNA from 1 species
GGCCUACACAUGCAAGUCGAGGGGUAACAGGGGAGCUUGCUUCUGCUGACGACCGGCGCACGGGUGCGUAACGCGUAUACAAUCUGCCUUAUACUGGGGGAUAGCCUUUGGAAACGAAGAUUAAUACCCCAUAGCAAGUGAAGAUGGCAUCAUCAUCACUUUAAAGAUUACGGUAUAAGAUGAGUAUGCGUCCUAUUAGUUUGUUGGUAAGGUAACGGCUUACCAAGACUACGAUAGGUAGGGGCCCUGAGAGGGGGAUCCCCCACACUGGUACUGAGACACGGACCAGACUCCUACGGGAGGCAGCAGUGAGGAAUAUUGGACAAUGGGCGAGAGCCUGAUCCAGCCAUGCCGCGUGCAGGAAGACGGCCCUAUGGGUUGUAAACUGCUUUUAUACAGGAAGAAACACUCCCUCGUGAGGGAGCUUGACGGUACUGUAAGAAUAAGGACCGGCUAACUCCGUGCCAGCAGCCGCGGUAAUACGGAGGGUCCGAGCGUUAUCCGGAAUCAUUGGGUUUAAAGGGUCCGUAGGCGGGCAGCUCAGUCAGUGGUGAAAGUCUGUGGCUCAACCAUAGAAUUGCCAUUGAUACUGGUUGUCUUGAAUUAUUGUGAAGUGGUUAGAAUAAGUAGUGUAGCGGUGAAAUGCAUAGAUAUUACUUAGAAUACCAAUUGCGAAGGCAGAUCACUAACAAUAUAUUGACGCUGAUGGACGAAAGCGUGGGGAGCGAACAGGAUUAGAUACCCUGGUAGUCCACGCCGUAAACGAUGGAUACUAGCUGUUCGAGAGCAAUCUUGAGUGGCUAAGCGAAAGUGAUAAGUAUCCCACCUGGGGAGUACGUUCGCAAGAAUGAAACUCAAAGGAAUUGACGGGGGCCCGCACAAGCGGUGGAGCAUGUGGUU